rnacentral:SRP_RNA from 1 species
GCCAGGAGUGGUGGUGAGUGCCUGUAGUCCCAGCUACUUGGGAAGCUGAGGUAGGAGGAUUGCUUGAGCCCAGGAGUUCUGGGCUGUAGUUCCCUAUGCUGAUUGGGUGUCCGCACUAAGUUCAGCAUCAAUAUGGUGACCUCCUGGGAGCAGGGGACCACUAGGUUGCCUAAGGAGGGGUGAACCGGCCCAAGUCGGAAACAGAGCAGGUCAAAACUCCAGUGCUGAUUAGUAGUGGGAUUGAGCCUGUGAAUAGUCACUGCGCUCCAGCCUGGGCAACAUAGCGAGACCCUGUCUCU